UGUAAAAUCGCAACUCAUUGCUAGCACAUGUAAGUGCUAGUACCAUAACACAGACCAGCACAGUACAUGUACUAAGAAUAAGACAGCUUGGUAACUUAUGUCUUUUAUUAAAACAUUAAAAAGGAAAAAAUAUAAGAUAGCAGCUAUCUUGUGCAAGCAGUCCAAGUAAGCACCUUAUCCCAAGCACAUGUAAGUGCUAGUACUAUUACACAGACCAGCACAGUACAUGUACUAAGAAUAAGACAGCUUAGUGA
rnacentral:lncRNA from 1 species